CCACUUCAGCCUCCCAAAGAGCUGGGAUUACAGGCACGAGUUAGCCAGCCAGAAUGUGAAUUUUUAAUAAGUCCUCAGGUGAUUCUUAGGACUACCAAGGUUUGGGAACCACCGCGCUAGUCCUUCCUGCCUAAAACAUCACUCCUAAUUAGUGGUGAUGGAACAUCCGCGUCACACCAGCAUCUGGGAGUUGACAUACCUAGGCCCCAGCCACUUCCUCUGCUGAAGCAUUCCACAUACACUCUCCAAUUAGACCUAGUUUUUCCCUUACAACCAACAAAAACAGUCUACUUCCUUUCUCGUAAGUCAGCCCUUCAAAGAUAUGAGGAAGCCAGCUACCUGACUGCCCUUGUUUUUUCCUCCUCCAAGAUAAACAUGUCCAGUUGUUUCCCACCAUUUCCAGGUGUCUCCCCCGUGGCUGUCACUCUCACCUGUACCCUAGAGUCUAUGUUUCUCAUCAAGUAUGGUGGUCAUGGUGGAACCUAAGACUCCAAGUCAGCCAGCAGUAGACUGAAGACAAGAGGGAGAAGUCCUUCAUGCAUGUGUUUUCAUAAAUUUGGUCAAAGAUAUCUUUUCUAAGCAGUGCUAACUUCAUCCAAUUAUUUAUUCAAUCAGUUUGUUAAAAAAAAAAAAAAAAAAAAAAACUGCAACACAAAAGGAACUAAUUUGGAUCCAGAAACCAUGAAUAUAAGGAAUGGCUGGUCCCUGACUCAAGGACUUUGCAUAGCAAUUUGGUAACUUCAGUAAUUCCUAGGUAAGGUGAAAUGUGGUUGUUUAAAAAGGAAGGGAGAGCAAAGCCAGCUGAUAGUCUUAUGGAUGGCCCCACAAAGCUGGUGGCAUCACGGUUGGGCUGGAAAGGGUGAGCAACUGCCUCAAAAGUGAAGAUCGGAGGUGGAGCAGGGUCUCAGCAGAGAGUGAGCCCAAAGAAACAUGGGCUGUGAUCUGGAAAUGUUCACUGGGUCACAGCCCAGAGCACUUGGAGGGAAGCAGUAGAGACAUCCUUAGCCUGUAUUAACUCUUUUUCUUUGGAAUUAUUGUCAAAUCAGGUAUUCACCAUUCUAUAUUAUUGACUUUUUUGAGCUUAAAUGCAAUUUGUUGAUACUUAAAUGUAUUCCUAUUACAUUUAUUGGACUGGUUUUUAGUCCAAUAUUCAUAUACUAAGAGGUAAGAGAUUGGAGGGGUUUAAGAAGUCUGGAAAACCUACUCAAAAAAGGAAAUGGAUUAGAUCAGUAAUUUUCAAGGUUGUUUUGUUUCUUUUUUUUAUUAAUAGGAUGCUUCCUUUAAGCAUCAACUAUAAUCUGAUUUAGAAACAACAUGUAAAAACAGAUACAUUCAGAACAAGCAGCUCUGGUUGACACUGGCAUGGGUGGGUACUCCAGAGUCUUCCCCACUCUCAGACAUGACCUGGCUUUCUUCCCCUUUGCCCAACUAGAAUGCUUUUGUGGAGCCCAAGAGCAUCCAUGUUCUUUAGAUCCCGAGGGCCACCCAAGAUAUUCUGUGGCCUCCCAGAAUCAGGUCUCUUCAGGUCCACCACCUUCUAGAUCCCUACACAAGCCCCUGAAAAAGAUGUGAAACAGGACAAGGCACAGGAUGGCAUCAGAAAGCCCAUGAAGAAAGACCUGCUCCCAAUGAAAGCACAUCGUUGCCAAGUACGGCUUCUCAAUCAGUUAUACACCACCCAUAGGCCCUUCCUUUUUAUUUAGCUGCAUUAAAAGCCUUGGCCAGGCAAAUUUCAGAGAACAUAUUUCAAGGAGUGGUGAUGAGUGAACACAUAACUACAAGAACACCCUCCAACCUUUUAUGCUCACUGAUUUAAUAUACUUCAGUUGUCUCUGGAGAACCAUUUGCCCUCUCUUCAUCUGUGGCUCUCAUGCAUCUGAAAAGCUCUUUUAGGGGGCCACAUGGAAAGCAUAAGAAAUGGGGGCAGCCCCUAGGAGCAAAGAGCAGCUCCUGGAUAACUGCUGCAAGAAAACAAGGACCUCAGACCUGCAACCACAAGGCCAACAACCUAAAUGAACUUGGAAGUGGAUUCUUCCCCACCAAAGCCUCUAAUAAGGAACACAGCUCUACUGACAUCCAAUUUCAGCCUUUUGAGACCCUAAGCAGCAGAGGACCCAGUUCAGCCCACCUGGAUUUCUGGCCCAGAAACUCAAGAAUCGAAAUUCACUUUGCCCCAUGAUCUUCACCAGAAUGGCAUACUUGCCUCUCCCCUCGUCAGAUUUAAAAGGUUUCUGUGAUUUAAGGUCUUCCAGCACCCCUCAGGAAGCUUGACAAUGAAGAGGAAUUAUUGAUGAAUGUGGAAAGGCCAGGGGGUGGGCAUUCAUUUUUAAUGACUACACUCCUUCCCUUGACUAAAUGGAAUCAAUCCUGCCUGCCUGAAUUUCAUCCAUUCAUCAUGCUGUCACAGUGGCUGACACACAGUAGGAACUCAAUAUUUAUUUGUUGGAUAAAUUUUUAAAAAGCUAUAUCUUACUUGUAUCACUAAAUGUUGUAUAUGAAGUGAAAUAUGGAUGUCUGAGAAAAUAGGACAAUUGAGUUUAUGGAAGAAAAAAGUGCAGAUAAAGAUUAAAAGUCAAACACUUC